rnacentral:rRNA from 1 species
GUGGGGAAUAUUGGGCAAUGGGCGAAAGCCUGACCCAGCAACGCCGCGUGAGGGAAGAAGGCCUUCGGGUUGUAAACCUCUGUCCUUGGUGACGAAGAAAGUGACGGUAGCCAAGGAGGAAGCCCCGGCUAACUACGUGCCAGCAGCCGCGGUAAUACGUAGGGGGCGAGCGUUGUCCGGAAUUACUGGGCGUAAAGGGUGCGUAGGUGGCCUUUUAAGUUGGAUGUGAAAUACCCGGGCUUAACUUGGGGGGUGCAUCUAAUACUGGGAGGCUAGAGUGCAGGAGAGGAAAGCGGAAUUCCCCGUGUAGCGGUGAAAUGCGUAGAUAUGGGGAGGAACACCGAUGGCGAAGGCAGCCUCCUGGGAUAACACUGACGCUCAGGCACGAAAGCGUGGGGAGCAAACAGGAUUAGAUACCCGAGUAGUCC